UACGUAGGGCGCAAGCGUUGUCCGGAAUUAUUGGGCGUAAAGAGCUCGUAGGCGGCUUGUCACGUCGGAUGUGAAAGCCCGGGGCUUAACUCCGGGUCUGCAUUCGAUACGGGCUGGCUAGAGUGUGGUAGGGGAGAUCGGAAUUCCUGGUGUGGCGGUGAAAUGCGCAGAUAUCAGGAGGAACACCGAUGGCGAAGGCAGGUCUCUGGGCCACUACUGACGCUGAGAAGCGAAAGCAUGGGGAGCGAACAGG
rnacentral:rRNA from 1 species